rfam:Mus musculus chromosome 2, GRC primary reference assembly.
AGUCAUGUGAGGCUAUGAGAGCAAUGCGGCCCUCACUGGUCUCCAGGAUUGAUGUAGCUGAUCCGGCUGGCUAGCCAGGUGUAUGCAUCUUAGCACAUUGCUCCAUCUUCUUCUUUUCCACAGUUUCACGAUCCCUGGGAGAGAACCGGCUUCCCAAAUAGAGGACCACUCUUCAGUCAAGGUUGUCAGAAUGGCUGUAGACCUCCAGACAAGAUCUUAAGAAUGUAACAUGGCUAAGCUCCCACAGUCCUGCCCACCAGGUUCUAGUUCUCU